rnacentral:lncRNA from 1 species
UUAAAAAAACGAAAAUCGAAAUGAAAAACAACAAAAAGAGAAACAAAAGUGAAAAAAGGUUGAGUAAGGCAAAGAAGAUUGGAAUUAGAGAUUUGGUCUUAUUUUGGGGUGAUUUUUGCUUACUUUUUACUUAUUCUCCAUUGCUCCUCUUUUCCAUUUGGUUUUACCUACAUAUCUCAUAUUUAUCCUACAUUGUCCUUGGCUGCAUUACAACCUUGAAAAGUCCUUUUGAUCUUUAUGUGCAUGUGCUUAUGAUGUUGNN